UAUCCAGCCUUUUAAAAACCUUGAAGCAGGCAUCCAAUACGUGGGUGAGGUCCAAAUUUCUUUCUGAAUGAGUGAGCAAGAGAUGGAGAGGACGGAGCUUCAGGACAGCCAGUUCGGAGGCUGCUGGCGUCUUCAGGCAUGGGAACUUAGGAGGCUUUGUCUAAGCCUGAGUCACUGAAGACCUUGGAUUCAUACUGCCAAGUCCUGGCUGUUGGGCACUGGCAACGAUAAGCCUCCCCGGAGUCUCUGAAAGUGUAUCCUGUACUUUAUCCUGUACUUCCCUCUUAUAAAUAAACCCGUUGUGAAACUAGUGCUUAAAAUCUGU
rnacentral:lncRNA from 1 species